AUAUGAUCAUAAUAUAUUUAUUUAAAUUAGUAAUGCAAGGCAUUUUAUUUACUAUAAAAAAAACUUUUAUUACAACUAUUAGAUUUAUUAAUCCAUUUUUUAUAAAUAUUUAAAAUCUAAAACUUACAGCAAUAAUUUUACAGUUACAGUCCAACCAAUCACCCACUAGAUUGUAAUAGUCAAAGUUUCUACAAGGAAAGUCUUUACAGCCAAAUUCUAUGCAUCUCAAAUUUUUAAAGUCAAAGCAUAUAAAGACAAAAUUAACACUCGCUACCAAUCAGCCCCUACGUUUGACAAAAUUGAGUUUUUAAAGAUGUUGUCGCUAUGUUUUUCCUUUGCCAUACCUCCUUUUUUUCACUCUUUGACAUCUUACAUUGCAUAAUUUUAUUGGUCAGGUGAAUAUUAAUCUAUAAUAUAAAAGAUUUUUUUUGUAAAAACCGAGAAAACAUUUUUAAUAUCUAGCAGCACUUUGGUUUCUAACAUUAUUUGUUGGAUAUUAUGCGAGUUUAAAUUGUGUGUAUUAAUUACCAAUAGAAUGUAUUUUUAGUUUAAAAUAGUUUCUUAUACGAUUACUAAUAUCGUCAUAAUCUAGGUUCCAAUCAAUUUGCCUCACUAGUUCCUUCGGAUGGAGAAGAAGAUUUGUCAGAUUCAGACAACGAAUCUGAUUCAAUGGAUUUUAUGUCGCCUUGGGGUAAAAGAAUCCUCCGAAAGAGACAGGUUAAACAACCAACAAAGGCUAACAAAAUGGAUGAACAAACCACACGUCGUGGGAGGGGAAGAGGCUGUGGGAAACGAGGUGGUCAUGGCUAAUGGUCUCCAACAACCUAAACACUAAGUCAAUUGAAGCAAAAAAUUGGAUUGUAACCUGCAUUUAAUGUACCCUUUCUUUCUACUACUUGUAACUUUUUAUAAACUGUAUGACCUCGUGUGCCUAUAUCGAUUUUGAUUUUCUUAAGUAAAAAAAGUAAUAUUGUCGUAAUUUUUUUUAUAUUGGUCUCUUAUACUGUUUCUAAUUAUUUAGAUAUCAUAUCAUCAUUAUUUGUUUCCACUAAGAUUAUCAGGGUCGGCCCAGACCUAAAGCCCAAGAAGCAGAUGCUUUAGGCAGCAAAUUUUAUAUGUAUAUUAAAGGACAUCAAAUUCUUAGAAAUAUCUUGUAGUCUAGUGGUGUUAGGUGUAUCUGAGGGUAUUUGGUUAGGCCUGGGUGUUCGGCUAAACCGGGUUGUUCGGAUCGGUUUGUUCAGUUUGGAGAAAAUUUGGGUUUUUAAAAAUUUCACCGAAUAGACCCGAAUUAAAAUUCGGUUCGGGUCAGUUCGGUAGUCGAUUUGUUUGGGUCGGUUAUUAGCUAGAAUUAACGUUCCAAAUUUGAACCAUACAAAAAUUUAUCCGGUUUAUUCGGUUUUUUAUUUCGGUUUACAUAAUUAAAAAUGAAAAUUUACAGUUUACAAAUCCAAACCUAAUCAAAUUAACCAUUACAAAUAAAUAAAAGCCCAACAUACAAAGGAAAUUAUGAAAAGCCCAACAAACAAAGACAAUUAUCAAAACCCUAACUUAUAAAGGUAAUUAUAAAAAGCGCAAAACACAAUUAUUAGCCCAACCCAAUAAAAUAUUAGGGUUUUGACAGUAAUGUGAGCAGCCCCUUCACGGUUGCGACUCCAGGUGUAACGGUGAUGGUAACAACGACGACAAUCUCCGAUGAUCUUAUUCCAUCUUUAAACAAGGUUGUGUUGUGUUGGAUCCCAAAACCCUUCAAAUUUUAGAAAUCGAAAUUGCAAUUAAAUUUAAUGUUUUGUAUCCAAUUUAUCAUCUAGAUAUUAGCGAUUCGGAAGAAGAAUUAGAAGCAGUAUCAACGAAGAAGAUCGAAAGAGCUUACCUUUACGAUUUCUUCGGUUGAACUUCUGUGAAAAAGAAAAGGGGUUGAAAAUGAGGAGCGUACGGAGAUGAAGUGAUGAAGUAGAAGAGAAGAGAAGAGAUGUUUGGGUAAGAAGAUCUUAUUAAAUUAGAUACAAAGUCGAAGAAGAACAAAGAAGUGACCUCUUUGAUUUCCUUGGUUGCAGCUUGAAUUUCUUAAAUGACGAGGGUAAGAAGAUGUAGAAGUGUUGAUCACGAUGAAAUGAUGAAGGAGAAGAGAUGAGAUGAUGUCUAGAUGACUAGAUCAGAGAUGAGAUGAAAGAUUAUUCUCUAUAAAUUGCAUGAGGCGGAGGCUAAGAGAAAGAGAAAUGAAAUUAGGGUUGGUUAGACUUAUAUAGGGCAGCUUAAUAGGCUGCUAAACCGAAUUAACCCGAUCGGUUCGAUUACCGAACUGACCCAAACCAACAUCCGAUUGCCAAAAUUAAUUUUGUCGUUCGGUUUCGGGUUACUCGGUUUAUGCCGAACUCCCAGGGCUAUAUAUGGUUGUUGGUUUGAACCUUGGCAACUGAAAAUAUUAACAAUUUUUCUAUUUUUAUAUGUACUAAAUGGGCAUCAAAAUUUUGUUGGACUUAAGGCAUGAUUAGUGUUUGGGUCGGCCCUGAAGAUUACCAACACGAAAUAAAAUUUAGUUGGCAUAGAUCCAACGUGAAUAUAUUUUGUUACGAAGUCUAACAACAAAAUUGGAAUUAUUUUCGGUUUAGAAAAACAUCAACACUUUUUUGUUUACGACUUACUAAAAUUAGGAUUAAAUUGUCAAAAUAGGCAAAAGUAAUUCGCAAAACUGUCAUACUAAAUAAAUGAGGGCGUUUUCAUAAAACUAAAAAAGUAGAAGGUUUCUCUUGGGAAGUUUUCAAUUUUCCAUAGCAGGUCUAAACAUGCUCAUUAGCGAUUCUUUCUUAUAUAUUAAAGCAGAUGUUUAAAGUGCUCACGUUCGCUCUCAGAAUAUGAGCGGACGUUUUUACCCCCUUUAAUGAAAUUACCUAAUUUAAUUCUUUUAAAUUUUUUACUU
rnacentral:sRNA from 1 species